rnacentral:lncRNA from 1 species
ACAUGAUGGACCUUGAAUAACAGCUCAACAGUAAUGCUGUAUAAUUGCUUUUCAUCCUUUCUAUCAGCAGUGAAGCUUUAAAACAUUGAUCAAAGAUGAUGACUAUCACAAAGUGCUUAGAGUGCAGCACAUUGUUAAAUUUCCUGAGCUUCUGAAAUAAUUAUAGCAUGAGCAAGCAUAAAGAUGAUUCUCCCACCUUCACCCGCCUUCCUCAAAUGAUUUUCUAGCCAAAGUAGAGGGGAUUAAAAGAAAUCUGACAUGAAUGAGCUACAUUAGAACAUCAAUGUCAAAAGAUAUCACGGGCACCUGCCUCAAAAGGAUAAAAAUACCGUGAAUAAUUUCACAUUAUUUCACACCAGAAUUCGGUCACCCUCCUUGCUGACAAACAAGCUGCUCAAGUAAAGGACACAGAGCAUACCCAGUGGAUAAGAAAGUACAACACAGAAAUUAGAAAUGCUCCCUGAUGAUGUCAAAAAGAUAGCUCUUGUCUGCUAAGACUAUACAGCUAAAGAAAUGAUGGAGACAAAAAAAAAAAAAAAAAAGCUUUUUACCCAUUUAUGGGAAUAAUAGAUAAAAGACUUUUUUCCAAAAGUUUAGUAGUUUAUGUUAGAUUAAUUCCUUGAACUCAUGGUUUCAUGAGAGUUUAACUGUAUUAAUGUAUUCAUUUAAUAUAUUUAAAAUGAAUUCUUGAAAUCCUCGUAAGAACCAGACAUGGUAUAGAAACUCAGGUGAGGUGCUGGUUUUUUUAAAUUUAUUUUUUAUUACUCAGAUGAAUUUAUCACAUCUGUAGUUGUAUAAUGAUCAUAAUCUAAUUUCACAGGUGAGGUGCUGUUGCAAUGGUUGCAUGUGGGCUCCACACCAUACUCUUUCAACCUAUCUGAUUUCAGCACAAGCACCUCCUUGCCAGUUUCCUACAUGAAAUGCUCAUGCUGGCGACUCUGUGUUAUAGAAUGUCACUCAAUUUGAAUUAGAGGAAUUAGGAAGUAAGGUGAAUUUAAUGACUCUCAAUGAGUAGUAUGAGUGGAUAGAUGUUUUAUCUCCCAUGUUCUCUGGAAGGAUAAAUUAAGAUCCAUUCAGUGUGGUUUAUCAAAUGAUUCCCUGAGAGUAGUUUAGCUCAUGUUGCUCACGACAGUACCAGAUGAUUGGAACUUAAUCACUGGCUUUCUAUUUUAUCAUUCUUAAGAAAAAAGUUUAAAAUUGAAUAGGUGAUUUAUAAUGUUGUGUUAGUUUCAACUGUACAGCAAAGUGAUUCAGUUGUAUAUAUGUAUGUGUUUGUGUAUAUGUAUUUAUAUAUAUUUUUCAGGUUCUUUUCCCUUAUAUAGUACAAAUGUUUCCGUGUACUAUACAGUAGGCCUUGUUGGUUAUCUGCUUUAUACAUAGCAGUCUGUAUAUCUUAAUCUCAAAUGCCUAAUUUAUCUGCCCCCACUCCCCUCAUGUUUUCCCUUUGGGAACCAUAAGUUUGUUUUCAAUGUCUGUGGGGCUAUUUCUAUUUUGUAAGUAAGUUCAUUUCUAUGUUUCCCCUGGCUUUCUUUUGUAUCUCUUCAGUUUUCCCAUGUCUCUAUUUCAUUACUCUCCCCCUCCCCUAAACCUAUAUGUUUCCUAGUGCUUGUUUUAGGAUCCACUUUUAAGAAGGAGCCUAGGCCAAAACAGUUGCUACUGGAAGUAGCAAUAGAAAGUAGCCUCUUUAGAUGGGAUUCUGAAAUUGGUUUCCUCAUGGGUCAAAUGGUAACAAGGACCACAUUGUUGGUGAUAAACGAGGUGCUGAAAACUCCUUGUUUGCUUUAUCACCACAGUUUUAAAGACUCAGUAGAGGAGAGCUGAAUGAAAAUCAAGUGGAAGGAGGCACACAGGUUUAUGUAAUAGCUUGAAAGCUAUUAGGGGAAACCCUUUAUAAGGGUUGUGGAGGCAGCUUACCCUUUUCAACCCUUCUGGAAGUCUUGAAGUAGAAGAGUAGCAGUCUCAGUUCAGCCAGCCAUCUGCUCAGGACUUGCUAGAAAUUUAAGAUGGACUUCUUGCAGUGUUUAUUACCUGCAACUGGACGAUAGAUAAAAACUGAAAAAAGCAGGUCCAGGAUUUGAUUAUAGGGGUUGAACAAAUGCAAAAUACAUGUAAUGCUCAACUUCUGGGAGUUUUCUGACAUUAGAGUUUUGGUAGUGACCCUGAGAACUUGGAUGUCUGGGAAGAACUGACCUGAGAAUGUUGGACCUCCAGAUUUUCCUAGUAUCUCUGGACUUUGAGAACAGCGUCUUUCCUUGACUGAGGAUAAUAUGAAGAAAUUGCCUGAGGUGAGUCCCUUGAAAUAUGUUUUUUUCCUUCCCCCUUAAGAUCAGCCACAUCUUAAAAUUUGACUCAAAUCUUAGUAUGGUCCAAGGAGGGAAAUGUAGUCUCUGCUACUUGUAAAAUACCUCAUCAGACUAGUGGCACAACUGGGCUAAUAUGUAAAUAUGCACAAGCAGAAACUCAGAAACUUAUAUAGGAAUGGAUAUUGAAAAUAGUUUUACUGGAUAGGUACAUGGUAUAAAGCUGGAAAAGUAAGGCUUUGUUUACCUGGAGGCAUAAUUUAGUGAAAUACAUUCUGUGUGAACUCCUGGAGCUGGUUUAAUGGGAGCUGGUUUAAUGUCAUACUGGGAGGGUUACUUAAACAUUGAAUGCAGUUUACAGUAAAUGGUGUGGACAUGCCAGGAUCUCUUCAGCCAAGUACUGUGGAAGAGGUCAAAGUGGUGGGCUUGAGAAAGUUGGUUUAUUGCUUGAGACUGGAGUUCCCUUAACCUAUGUCCUUUGGAAAACCUAGAGAACAGUAAAGUGGUAUGCCAUGCACCAGAGAGGGUCAUCAAUAUAUUUGAGAAGGUUAAUGUUGGAUUUUUCUGUGGGCCAGAAUUCACAGUGAGUGAUGCUUCCAUAGAGCUUGGUGUGAUAGAUUCCUGGCCUAUUAGAAGAUAUAUCAGGUGAUGAUACUUAGAAGAGGCAAGACACACAUGAUGGUAAUAAUGAAAAUGAAGCAGAAGGGUAGGGUAUCUCUACUCAAAGAAUUCUAGGGCUAUGUCUAUUAGACCAUGGUGGUUCAAGAGAGGAAAGAGAUAGGCAGGAGAAGAAGCCACCCAUUGACUUAUUUAACUGGAAUAAGUUGAUAUCAGUUGUUUCCAUUGGAUAUUGUGAUCUCUUGUUCAAUUAUCAGAUUUAAACCACUUAGACCCAGAGUCCACUUAUUAAAGGUAAAUGUAGAUACUCCUAGGAAGGGCCUCUGAAAUGUUACUACAUGCCUAUGAUGUUAAUAUUUCCCCAAUACUUGCAUUAAGGACUUGUAGCUAUUUGAAAGAGUAAUGACACCAUGGGGAAAGGAGAAUUCCUUUGAAUUGUUAAAUAUAGGAUCUGAGCAAAUACUGAUACCAGGGAGACCUAAAUGCAAUCACCACCCCUAUUUAAAGGUGGGUCUGAUGGAAGCCAGGUGCUCUAUAGAAUUCUAGUCCAAGUCCAAAAAAUAUACAGACCCAACCUUUUCUUGACUCUUAAGUAUAUAUUUGUGUUGGAUAUAUGUAUCAACUGGUAUAACUUUUGCAUUGAUUACCUGGACAUAGAAUAGAAUCAAGAUAGAAGGAGGCCUUAAAUUUAUCCAUUCCUGGCUAAAAAAGUAAAUCAGAAGCAAUAUUUAAAAAAAAAAAACUGAGUAGAAUUGCAAAUAUUAAUGCUCCCCUCAAAGACUGAAAGAUGUAGUAAACUCUACCCCCCCAUUAUUUUAAUCCCCUUUAAAUUAGCCCUUUGGACCCCUCCAAAAAUCAGAUGAAUUCCAGUUGAUGACACUGGACCAUGUAAUUUUAGUGAGUGGUUGCCUCAAUUACAGUCAUGUUGCUUAAUGUGACAUCUUUAUUAGAAGAAAUCAGUGCUGUCCCUGGCAUGUUGUAUGCUUUAUUGGUUUAGAAAAUGUACAUAUAAGUGAAUCAAAUGUAUAUAGUUGUUAUAUGAGUAGAACAGCAGUGGCCUAGAGGGCUACCACUAUAGGGGAAUUGAAGUGUAGAAUCAUAAAGUUGAUAAAACUAUGAAUGUCUUCUGGAAAUCCACUAUCUUCAUUUCUAUGUAUAGUAACAUUUUUGGGGAACCCUAGUCAGUGCAUUACAGAUUGGAAAGAAGUACUAAAACUUCUUUAUUCACAGAAAAUAAAAAAUGUAUACAUGUAAGAUUCUAAGGAAUCCACAGAAACAUCUCUAAGAACAAAUAAGUAGAUAGCUAAAUCAAGUUCAAAGGACAUAGGGAUCAUAUUUAGAAAUCCAUUGUGUUUUUAUAUACUAGGCAUAAAAAAUUUGGGUAAUGAAAUGAAAAGGCAAUAUCAAUGGCUAUAACAUCAAAAUAUUGAAUUUAUAAGAAUACAUUUAGCAAAAUAUGUGAAAGACCAAUACAAAGACGGAGUUCCCAUCAUGGCACAGUGGUUCACAAAUCCUACUAGGAACCAUGAGGUUGUGGGUUCCGUCCCUGGCCUUGCUCAGUGGGUUAAGGAUCCAGCAUUAUCUUGAGCUGUGGCGUAGGUCUCAGACCUGGCUCGGAUCCCGCGUUGCUGUGGCUGUGUGGUGUAGGCCCGUGGCUACAGCUCCGAUUCAACCACGAGCCUGGGAACCUCCAUAUGCCCCAGGUGUGGCCCUGAAAAGACAAAAAAUGUUUUGUGAAAUAAUGAAAUUAUUAAAAAUUGGCAAGAUAUUAAAUGGCUAUUAUUAAAGUCAUUAUGAUACUUGAAAUACACUUUUUGUAUUAACUAUUGUUAACUAGAAAAGUGAUUUAGCAUUUUCAGAUUAAAAUCCAAAACCACCCAAUCAUACUAUAUGUCUUUACACAAAACUAUACCUUUUCUGGUGAAUAAUAUUUUAUAAAAACAGAAAAACAAUGAAGUAGAAAAAAGGAUACCUAAACUUUUAAUUGUAUUUUUUUUUAAAUUGUUAGACAUCUUAAUGGCUUCAGUAAUGACAUACUAUCACAUAACUUCAAAAUAAUGAAAUUGGGAGUUCCUGUUGUGGCUUAGUGGUGAUGAACCCAACUAAUAUCCAUGAGGAUUUGGGUUCAAUCCCUGGCCUUGCCCAGGUAGGUUAAGAAUCCAGCAUUGCCAUGAGUUGUGGUGCAGGUCACAUAGUUGGCUGAGAUCCUACGUUGCUAUGGUUGUGGCGUAGGCCAGCAGCUCCAACUUCAAUUUGACCCCUGGCCUGGGAACUUCCAUGUGCUGCAGGUGUGGCCCUAAAAAGACCAAAAAAAAAAAAGAAAGAAAAAA